GGGGUUAUAGUUAAAAAUAACAUCUAAAUUGCAAUUAGAAAGUACUAUAAAGUUAUCCUCG
rnacentral:tRNA from 1 species